rnacentral:rRNA from 1 species
GACGAACGCUGGCGGCGUGCUUAACACAUGCAAGUCGAACGGUGAAGCGAGUGCUUGCACUCGUGGAUCAGUGGCGAACGGGUGAGUAACACGUGAGUAACCUGCCCAUCACUCUGGGAUAAGCACUGGAAACGGUGUCUAAUACUGGAUACGGCCAACCCUUGCAUGGGGUGUUGGUGGAAAGAUUUAUCGGUGAUGGAUGGACUCGCGGCCUAUCAGCUUGUUGGCGGGGUAAUGGCCCACCAAGGCGACGACGGGUAGCCGGCCUGAGAGGGUGACCGGCCACACUGGGACUGAGACACGGCCCAGACUCCUACGGGAGGCGGCAGUGGGGAAUAUUGCCCAAUGGGCGAAAGCCUGAUGCAGCGACGCCGCGUGAGGGAUGACGGCCUUCGGGUUGUAAACCUCUUUCAGCAGGGAAGAAGCGAAAGUGACGGUACCUGCAGAAGAAGCACCGGCUAACUACGUG